GAUGGUUGAAGACUGGGCUCCCUGGGUCUCCACCUUUUGAUGGGAGUAGUUGCAAAGAAUUUGCAAAAAUCUUUAACACAGCAAGCACUGUGUCAGUUUGAAUCCUUCAAGAAGCCAAGAUGGGAUUAGAUAUGCAAGAGAUUUAUUGAAGGGAAAUAUCUGUGAAGGGUAAAGAGAGAGAGAAGGACUAAUCAGAGAGAGUCUUCAGACCACAAUGAAGAUCUGACAUCUGUGAAAGGAGAGUGGGAAAGGAAUACUGGGUAGUAAAAGACUCAAAUUUCAGGAGGAUCCUGGCAAAGUCUCAGCCCUGAGUAAAAGUUGCCCAUUAGAGGAGUCCCGUGGUGGGCAGAAAUGGACUGGAUCUAAUACCCCCACAGUGCUAAGUCAUUGGCUGGGAGCAUACCAAGAAAAAUGUUGCCUGGUGGAUCCGAAGGGACAACAGCUAAAGUUGUCAAUCAGCUAUGCUUUUCAGAGUAGAUCCUGUUGAACGGCAAGUGGUUGAUCUUUCCUGAGGAGGAAUUCUGCUACCAACUGUGAAGUGUUGGAGGCAUGGGGCAGAAGUCAACCCCAAGGCAAUGAUUUCAUCGUGCCCCAGCAUCAAAUACCACUUUGAGUUAUCCUCCCUGGGCAAUUGGAAAAGGAACGAACUUCAGAAACGAAUAUAUAACUUGAUCACAAUGCCCAUGAUGUCUCUUCUGGGAGCUAUGUGAGGAAGUGCCUUGUCGUAGACCAACGCUUCUGGUGAGAACAACUGGAACAGCUGAAUUCAAAUUUUCUUUUUAAGGAUAUCAGAAGCCCUGUCAAGAAGGUAGCUCUGACAAUCCAAAAUCCUGGAGAGAAGAGAAGCUCGUGGAGUUGGACCAACAUUCUAUGCAUUGCUUUUUGCCAGAGGGCAUUUGCUGACUCUUGGGAAGCACACACUGAUGCUGAGAAGACAGGGAGAGGUCAGCUGAGGAGGCUGAGGAGCCAGUGGAGUUUAAAAUCAUCUCAUGGGACUAAGGAGACAAAACCGGAGCUCGAGAGUGCCAAAAUAUCUAAGACUUGAGAUCCCAAGGUUAUGGAUAGAAGGGAGAUGCAAAGAAGGGAGCCUACAAUCCUGCAACAGUUUUCCCCCGGGCCAUUUCCUGCCAUAAACUGCAUAGAGCAAGAGGCUCAGAAGCCAAGAAGAUGAACGCUAUAAAGCUAAGCAGAACUGAGCUUUUAACAGCAAAAAGAGAAGUAAAAAGA
rnacentral:lncRNA from 1 species